rnacentral:tRNA from 1 species
UGGGGGGUGGUGUAAUAGGUAGCACUACGGGUUUUGGUCCCGUCAGAGCGGGUUCGAGUCCUGCCCCCCCAGCCA